AUAGCGCUCAGUGUGGUUGCGUUCAAUGCACCUCAUCCUCCGUUUCAUUUCAAACACUUUAUUGAACAUUUUUAUUAUUGAAUUCGAAAAGCAGACAACAUUCAAAUCGAAAAACCGUCCUAUAUCAACGAAAACGCCGAAAGAUAUCGUCUGCGCACAGCUCAAACGCGAUGCAUCUUACGUGCGUCAAAAACUCGAAACAAAGAACCGAUCGGCACUCUCGAGGGGAGGUAGGCAGAGAGAGAACAACUUGCAACCGCACCAGGGGGAAGAGUAAAUUGCACACCGAACACAACGUUGCAUCAUGUAGUUGGCCGUCGUCAUCUCGCGCCCCACAGCGGGUUUCUCACUCACGCAACCGCGUUUCCUCUCGACUUCCACAGCUUUUGGCCCACGGUGGCCAGGGGAAACUCAUUCCUCGCAGCGAACAAUCGAUGAUUGGAGCGGCACGAGGCUGCCCCUUUCGCUCUAAUAAUGCCAAAGCACACAAGCGACUCGUCACAAUCUCCUCCUCAGCGGGGUAACGGGGUAAACACAGCCCAACCAACGAAGUAGGCAUUCCCAAGAACAAAAGACACCUUCUGCUGCUGCUGCUACUUGGGUAGAAUGUAUCUCGUUGCCAAAGAGAUGAGGACUGUGUGCUUGUGUGGGAUGCAUCCAAGUAGCUUGGAAGUGGUUCUACUGGCGUGUGAGGUAGGGUCUGCUUUAACACCAAGUGUCCAAACCGUGUGUCUGUGUGGACAGGAAUUGGAUCCACACACCCGCAGCCCUUUGGGGCCGCACCACGAACGUGACCGCAGGGUGAACUCAAACGAAGAACAAUAUCAAACCUAACGAUUAGUGUGUGGGAGCCCCACCACUUGCUAUCAACCACAACAAAAACAACACACACACACAGCUGUGUGCUGGCCACAGCAGCGGCGCGUUCAGGUGUACGGCGGCGCUCGACUUGUCGUCCGUGAAGCGAUUUAACCUUGAACAGUGCGCGGAGAUGGAAGUCGAAUGGCACUGGGGGGGUAUGGAGGGACAGGGAGGAUGGAGCACUAACGACACAGGGUGAUGGUGGACGUGCACCACCGUAAAGCUGUGUUUCAACCCUCAAACCGCCCCCUGUGUAGUGUUCUGCCAGUGCUUGACCAGCUGCUCAUUUUCGCAUUCGAUGUCGUCUAACACACACGAAUAGAAUGAUAAUGUGACACACACGGUCGCAGUGGAAAAGCUUGCAAAAGUAGAGUGUUCUAGCGUUGGCAACAAGUUUGCGCUCGUGUCGUUUUUUUUCUCGUCUUUUACUUAAAACAAAUAAAAACAGUUAAAAGAACGGCCGCUAAA